GGGGUUUUAUAUUUAAUUUAUUAUGCCUUGGCUCAUUGCAUUCAUCAAGUUUAAGUAUAUAUAUGUAUAGUAUAUUAUUAUGAACUUUAUGGCUGACAGCUUUGAGCCAAAAACAUUGAAGUUGAAGUCCUCUUUAAAACAGAAAUGCAACAUUCACUAGAUUUUUUUUUUGCCAUGAGGAUCAUUAAAAUAAGAGGAAAACUAUUCAAAAUAUUAAACAAGGUGUUGUUACUCCCCAAAAACAGAGUUCUGAAAUCAUGGUCAUUAGGACCACCCCGACUUUAAAUCUGGUGGUCCAAGUAAACAUUUGGUGGUCCUGUUUUUAAAGUAAAAAUUUUGGUACACAUCAUUUCCAACAGCUAUUAUAUAUAUAGCUAUAUCAUGUAUAUAGGUUGUACUGGUAACGACAAUAUUUUUUUG
rnacentral:lncRNA from 1 species